rnacentral:rRNA from 1 species
ACUUCUUAGAGGGACUAUCGAUUUCAAGUCGAUGGAAGUUUGAGGCAAUAACAGGUCUGUGAUGCCCUUAGACGUUCUGGGCCGCACGCGCGCUACACUGACGGAGCCAGCGAGUAAUAACCUUGGCCGAGAGGUCUGGGUAAUCUUGUGAAACUCCGUCGUGCUGGGGAUAGAGCAUUGCAAUUAUUGCUCUUCAACGAGGAAUUCCUAGUAAGCGCAAGUCAUCAGCUUGCGUUGAUUACGUCCCUGCCCUUUGUACACACCGCCCGU